rnacentral:rRNA from 1 species
CCUACGGGAGGCAGCAGUGGGGAAUAUUGCACAAUGGGGGAAACCCUGAUGCAGCGACGCCGCGUGAGUGAAGAAGUAUUUCGGUAUGUAAAGCUCUAUCAGCAGGGAAGAAAAUGACGGUACCUGAUUAAGAAGCCCCGGCUAACUACGUGCCAGCAGCCGCGGUAAUACGUAGGGGGCAAGCGUUAUCCGGAUUUACUGGGUGUAAGGGGAGCGUAGACGGCAGCACAAGUCUGGAGUGAAAUGCCGGGGCUUAACCCCGGAACUGCUUUGGAAACUGUGUAGCUAGAGUGCAGGAGAGGUAAGUGGAAUUCCUAGUGUAGCGGUGAAAUGCGUAGAUAUUAGGAGGAACACCAGUGGCGAAGGCGGCUUACUGGACUGUAACUGACGUUGAGGCUCGAAAGCGUGGGGAGCAAACAGGAUUAGAUACCCCAGUAGUC